GUAAGGAGGAAGCGGCGCGCAUGCGUAUUUCAGACGGAGUGCCGGGGAGGGGAGGCGCUCAGCAUUCGGGUAAUUAAGGUUGCAAAAUGGCGAGGGGGGAGGUAAGCUGUCUUUGCUUGGCCAUCUUGGGCUAGCAGGCCUUGCAGAGAACUACCUUUUUAGCUGAGUGAAGGGAUCAACCUGAGUUGGAGUUCUCCUAUGCUGUGGCCAGAUCCACUAGAAAUUAACCCAGAAUCUUAGCCUCUCAGUGGCCUAUCGGUGAUGCCACACUCAAUCAGAAACUAUGCUACUGCUGAAGAGGUAUAUUGAGCCCUGCCUGGUUAACCUCCAGUGAGGUUAUUAGAGAAUUGGGAGAGGCUCAAAUCAGCAUCCUGCACCUAGUUAUCAAACCAUUGUGAAGUCUUGAUUCCUGGAUGGCCAGAAAACUUGUCAUUGGUCAAGAGCAACAUUAAGAUCUGCCUGUUACUCAUACUGAUGCUUCCUGCCCAGCAAGUUCAUCAGAGGGCGAGGAUGAAUUACGGUUGCCAUGAAUGUCCUUGUGAGGCAGUUGGGAAGCCUUGGCUGGAUUGUGAAGGAUAUUUGAAAAGUAUUUUAGAGUCCACCAGAUCAUCCAUGUGAGUGACCAUGCAGCAAAAGAAGGAGGGUCCUCUCAGUGAUUAAGGAUUAUGAAGUAUUAAUUCUUCCACUGAUAUCUCAAAAGGUGAUCUGGACAAAGGAACAGGUAUCUCAGCUUCCAAGUUUGCUGGAGCCAUGUUUUCUCUAAUGUCCCCACAGAACAGUGGUUGGUAGGAUGGCG
rnacentral:lncRNA from 1 species